AUUGAACGCUGGCGGCAGGCCUAACACAUGCAAGUCGAACGAGUGGCGCACGGGUGAGUCAUGUCUGGGAAACUGCCUGAUGGAGGGGGAUACCUCCUGGAAACGGUACCUAAUACCGCCUACCCUCCCAUUUUCCCAGAUGGGAUUAGCUUGUUGGUGGGGUAACGGCUCACCACGGCGACGAUCCCUAGCUGGUCUGAGAGGAUGACCAGCCACACUGGAACUGAGACACGGUCCAGACUCCUACGGGAGGCAGCAGUGGGGAAUAUUGCACAAUGGGCGCAAGCCUGAUGCAGCCAUGCCGCGUGUAUGAAGAAGGCCUUCGGGUUGUAAAGUACUUUCAGCGGGGAGGCGUUACCCGCAGAAGAAGCAACGGCUAACUCCGUGCCAGCAGCCGCGGUAAUAC
rnacentral:rRNA from 1 species